rnacentral:lncRNA from 1 species
AGAGAUGGAGACUAACGUCUUCCAAGGGAGAUUGCGUCUCCACUUUCACCCUGGUACUGAGAGGUUGAGCACAAAAUUGGUAACCAAUGCUGCGCUUCCAGCAAAUUUUCCCACCAGCACCCAAUCCUGGGAUAUUUAUUCUCUUUGUCUCACAUCCUACAGGAACGCAGUCGCGGGGUAUAUCCCCCUGAAAACCAUUGGCCUGGGGUACAUCAUCUAAAGAUCCUAGGAUUGCUGCAGGUCAGCAGUCUCCACUGGAAAAAAAGAUCUUGCAUGUAUUUCAAGUCCUCUGAUGAAUCAUGUGAUCUACUAGACCCUGAAGAUACAGUGAAGAGCAAAAGAACACAGAUGAAAUGAGAAACAAAAACGAUGGAGAAAACCAAAAAAGGGGACACAUGGGAUCCAGGCAAUAGGAGAGCCAGCAUAAGAGAGAGCCAGAGGGAUGCCCAGGAUGAGGUGAAGACGAUCUUGGAAAUCAGCCCAGAUGUGCAUGCACCAGUCCACGUGUGGCAGGACCAAGGGAAGUGUCUUCACAAAGAUGAGGCUUUGAUUUGUUGGAGAAACUGUUACCAGAAAAACAGGUCCCGAUCCCGACCCCAAAAGAGUAUUCUUGGAUCUUGCACAGGAAGGAAUUAAAGGGAAGUAAGAAGUUACAGCUCAGUGCACCAUGAAGUUGAGACAGAGAUGGAGACAUCCCAGCACCACUUCUCUGGAACAGGAAAGGUGAUCGGGGAAGGAAUGUAGCCUGAGAGUAGCUCCCUCCUUUUCUAUCUGCGGGAAGAAAACGUCCUGUGAGAGGCCAGGAAGGUAGCAGGGCCAUGAGGUCCUAGAGGAACCUCCUAGUCUUGGAACCUUGAGAAGUUUCCAGAAAUGUGUGACUGCAAACCAAGGGCAGGAUCAGGAAAAACAAGGAAAGCAGAUGUGGGUCCUGGACCAACUGCCCUCCUAAGGUCUGUCCUCAGCAGGGACCUUCCCCUGACCUGUGAUUACUGGGGUCAGAUCCCCAUCACUACAAUCAUCAAGCAGUGACCACAGCUCCAGUGACCACAGCUCCAAGGAGAACCAGCCCGGGAGAUCUACAGGAGAUCGAGCAGGCUCCCCAUGGCCCCUGGUACCCGCGCGCUGCAGCGUCUCCUUCCCGUUCUCCAGGUGUCUGCGGAGCCACUCCAUGCAGGUGCCCUCCAGGCAUACUGCUCAUACCCGCGGAGGAGACGCCCGUCGGGCCCCAGGUCGCAGCCAAACAUUCCCUGGAGGAUGUGAUACCCUGGCCCAGUUCCCGCGGUCAGCCCCGCCCACCGAGCCCUGGCCCGGCCCCUAGCAACCUGCGGAGAUUUUGGCCUCAACUGAAGAUGAAACCAGUUUCCAAUGAUCAGAAAUCCAGGAGAGGUUUCCCUGAGUGCUUCUGGCUCAGGGCCUCUCACAAGGUUGCAGUCCAGUUGUCAGCCUAGGCCUGCAUCAUCUGAGGACUUCACUGAGCAAGGCCAUAGAGGAGUCCUCGAGCUACAAUUGGCCAUCAGAGGAGUCCCCUGUCUCCUAGGAAUGUCCUGCCUUAGUGUCACUGGGGUACACUCCUUUGGAAACCAGAACCUCGUAUCCUGCACAGCCCAGUGUUGGGAGAUAAAAUAUGCGAAAUACCCCAUUGAGUGAAUCUAAGAGAUUGGACAUGGAGCCAAACCUGCUUCCGCCUUUUGAUUUCUGGACACACAUGUUCUUCCUAUUGAGAACACAGAACUCUAGAGACGUCUCUGAUUCAAACAAUGCACUGUGUCCUGAAAGAUGGCACCCACCCCUCAGAGUGCUUCCUCCAGGCUGGCACUGAGUUGUGCCUGUAGAAGACCUGUCCAGCCUUCCUUGUGGCUGGCAGCUCCUGGGUAGUGCAGAUGGUGAUAGGAUUAGUGGAACCCACAGCCGUGGAAACACUGAAACUUUCCCUGCAAAGUGGGUCCUUCAGGCAGAUAAUGGGCUAGGAGCACUGCCUAGCCUGCAGACCAGGAAUGUCAACAGCACCCAGAGAGUGGUGCUGGCUGUGUCUGAGAGCAGGACAGGAAAACCCACCCAUAGAAUCGGUACCUAACCCUGUGAAGAUGAAACUCUGGCCCUUCCAGGUUGGAAGUAGCUAAAUGUAGUCAACUUGUUACUUAGUGGGUAGUCAUGUAAAGAAAUAGUGCCCCACUAGGGCACAUCAUGGGCCUCAAUUGCUGAUGAGUUGGACAUUCAGAGGUGGCAGCAGCUGGAUCUGCCUUGGUGUGGGGAAGUCAGUGCUGCUGGCCCCUUACGGAGCCUCAUGCCUGCCACUGUGGUUGCUCCAUUCAUGCACUCAUCCUACCAGGCCUGGGCUGACCCAUGGUGAAAGCUGGCUAACUGCCAUUUGUCUGUUUGGUAGUUCAGUGCCACUUCAGACUUGGGUGUUUUCUGUGGGUGUCAGCAAGGGAUUCAAGCUCAACCCAGGUGGACUGUUUUCACCUGAUGAUGAAUGCUGUUGGGCCUGUACCAUCUAUGACUUUGUGGGUCACACAGGCACUUGGAACCCCGUAGUUGCUUGGUAUCCCGUGGUCAAACAUUCUAUUGAAUCAGGACAAGGAACACUAAAAGUUGCUUCUAACAGGGGGCAUGUGUCUCUGCUGUGGAUGACAUGAUCUUACUCCAGAAUCCCAGGCCCUCCACUGUGACUCUCCCACUGGUGCUUGGUUCAGCUCCAUCCUGUGUCUUUCCCCACCACUGGCACCACCAGCCCCAGGGGUCUGAGGGAUGGUGGCUGCUUGUACCAUGGCCUGGAUCUGCUGCAGGGUCCUUUCCUGUGUAGGCCCCACUUGAAGCUGGCAUCCUCCUAUGUCACCUAGACUGUGGGCCAAAGCAAAAUGUCUAGAUGUGGAAUGUGGUGUUGUUAUAAUUCAAAGAGGCUCACCAAGCAGUGUGCUUCCUUGCUUCUGGUGAGGAUGCAAGAUGCAACAGUUUUUCUUUUACCUUGGAGGGGACACACCUGCAUUCCCCUAAACACUUGGCACUUGUUCACCCAUAAAACUUCACUUCAGUGCCCACCUUUGAAGCUGUAUAAGGUUUAUCUUCACCUUGUGGGGUGCGUGUGUUUUGCAAAGGACUACAGUGCACUUUCUUCCUGCUGCUCAUCUACUCCAGUCAACAUGAAGUUGUCAAUGAAAUGUGCUGAUUUAAUAUCCUAAAGGAUAUGCAGUAUGUCCAGUACAGUCUUAAGCCUAUACUAUAGAGGGCACAGGUGUUACAAUAGCCCUGAGGCAAACAAUAAAUAAAUGUGUCGUUGAUUCCA